rfam:Gossypium arboreum cultivar AKA8401 contig_19249_3, whole genome shotgun sequence.
UUUUAAAAAAUUCAUCCUUUUGUACCAUUAAAAACUACUGCGAAUGAUAGAAUAACCAGACAAUGCCAUGUGGCAUGUCACGUGUAUCUCAUGUUGACAUACAAAGACUAAUUUUUAACAGUAAAAAUUGAUGAAAAUUUUAAUA